UCCGAGGGAGUAUGGCUCAGAUUGAACGCUGGCGGCAGGCCUAACACAUGCAAGUCGAACGGUAACAGGAAGCAGCUUGCUGCUUCGCUGACGAGUGGCGGACGGGUGAGUAAUGUCUGGGAAACUGCCUGAUGGAGGGGGAUAACUACUGGAAACGGUAGCUAAUACCGCAUAACGUCGCAAGACCAAAGAGGGGGACCUUCGGGCCUCUUGCCAUCGGAUGUGCCCAGAUGGGAUUAGCUAGUAGGUGGGGUAACGGCUCACCUAGGCGACGAUCCCUAGCUGGUCUGAGAGGAUGACCAGCCACACUGGAACUGAGACACGGUCCAGACUCCUACGGGAGGCAGCAGUGGGGAAUAUUGCACAAUGGGCGCAAGCCUGAUGCAGCCAUGCCGCGUGUAUGAAGAAGGCCUUCGGGUUGUAAAGUACUUUCAGCGGGGAGGAAGGGAGUAAGGUUAAUACCUUUGCUCAUUGACGUUACCCGCAGAAGAAGCACCCGGCUAACUCCGUGCCAGCAACCGCGCUAAUACGGAGGGGGCAAGCGUUAAUCGGAAUUACUGGGCGUAAAGCGCACGCAGGCGGUUUGUUAAGUCAGAUGUGAAAUCCCCGGGCUCAACCUGGGAACUGCAUCUGAUACUGGCAAGCUUGAGUCUCGUAGAGGGGGGUAGAAUUCCAGGUGUAGCGGUGAAAUGCGUAGAGAUCUGGAGGAAUACCGGUGGCGAAGGCGGCCCCCUGGACGAAGACUGACGCUCAGGUGCGAAAGCGUGGGGAGCAAACAGGAUUAGAUACCCUGGUAGUCCACGCCGUAAACGAUGUCGACUUGGAGGUUGUGCCCUUGAGGCGUGGCUUCCGGAGCUAACGCGUUAAGUCGACCGCCUGGGGAGUA
rnacentral:rRNA from 1 species